rfam:Gossypium arboreum cultivar AKA8401 contig_13877_5, whole genome shotgun sequence.
UAUUAAAAAUUUCAUCUAUUUGUUCAGUUAAAACUAGCAGGACUAACAGAAUAGCCGAACAAUGACAUAUGAUGUUCUAUGUAUAUCUUUGCUGAUAUAUAAGAACUAAUUUUUAACAUUAGGUAUGAAUGGAAUUUUUAAUA